CUAAAUACACGCUAAACACGCGCUGGAAACUCCUUCACCUGCGUGAUUCCACACGAUGUCGAUUCACUCCUUCAAAACAUUCACUUCAGUUUCACUGUUUAAAAAUCCACGUUUUUACCGUUUUAUUUAAUUUCGUAUUUGUAAACAUGGAGAACGCCGGUGCUUUACAUUAGAGUGACAGUCGUCACGUCCAAUCACAUGCUGAGGACUGUGCGCCUUGUACGGAGAUGACCAAUCAGAAGUUCGAUUUUAGUAUCAUAUGUAUGUGGACGUCCAAUAGGAUGUGAGGAAGGCGGGAUCAGGUCAGAGAAAUGGUGUUGUGUUAUGGUUCGGCGGAUGCGUUUCUUUUCACUUUAUGAUCGUACUAUUAAAUAUUAAUUAGCUAUCAGUAAUUAUAUUGAAACACACGGGUAGUGUUUCUAACGUUUAGUUGAUUAAAGUGUCCCUAAUGGAUGUUGUCUGAGGCGAUCUGAAGACUCUCUGAAGCGUUCGGAUCAGUCGUCAUGAGUCACCGCACCAUCCAUCUGUUCCGUAAGGGCCUGCGGCUGCACGAUAACCCCGGCCUGCUGGGGGCGCUGGCCUCAUCCGCCGCGCUCUUCCCCGUCUACGUGCUGGACCGCGCGUUCCUGGAGGGGGCGAUGCGUGUGGGUGCGUUACGCUGGCGCUUCAUCCUGCAAAGCCUGGAGGAUCUGGACGGUCGUCUGCGGGCGCUCGGCUCGCGUCUCUACGUCCUGCGCGGGUCGACGCCGGUGGUCCUGCGAGACCUCGUGACCCGGUGGGGCGUCACGCAGAUCAGCUACGACACGGAAGUGGAGCCGUAUUACGCGCGCAUGGAGCAGGAAAUACAAGCGCUGGCGGAAGAGCGCGGACUCCAGACGCACACGUGCGUGUCGCACACGCUGUACGACGUCGAGAGGAUCAUACAGGCCAACGGCGGCUCUCCUCCGCUCACCUACAAGAAGUUCCUGCACGUUUUGUCUGUUUUGGGCGAACCGGAGAAACCGGCCCGGGACGUCAGCGCUGAGGACUUCCUGAGAUGUCCGACCCUUACGGAUCACGAGCAGGCGUAUGGGGUUCCGUCUCUGGCCGAUCUGGGUCUAGAGGUGCAGUCGGAGGCCCUGUGGCCCGGCGGAGAGACGCACGCGCUCCAGAGACUCCACAAACACUUCCAGAGUCAGGGAUGGGUGGCGAGUUUCUCCAAACCGCGGACGGUGCCGAACUCUCUGCUGCCCAGCACCACGGCUCUCAGUCCGUACCUGAGUCUGGGCUGUCUGUCGGUCCGAACCUUCUACCACAGACUCAGCAGCGUCUACGCACAGUCGAAGAACCACUCGCUGCCGCCCGUGUCUCUUCAGGGCCAGGUUCUGUGGCGGGAGUUCUUCUACACUGUUGCGUCAGCGACGCCAAACUUCACCAAGAUGGAGGGAAACCCGAUCUGUCUGCAGAUCGACUGGUACCACGAUCCGGAGUCUCUGGAGAAAUGGAGGACUGCCCAGACGGGUUUCCCCUGGAUCGAUGCCAUCAUGACCCAGCUGCGUCAGGAGGGUUGGAUCCAUCACCUGGCACGUCACGCUGUGGCCUGUUUCCUGACCCGUGGAGACCUGUGGAUCAGCUGGGAGGAGGGCAUGAAGGUGUUCGAGGAGUUCCUGUUGGACGCGGACUACAGCUUGAACACUGGUAACUGGAUGUGGUUGUCCGCCAGCGCAUUCUUCCACAAAUACACCAGGAUUUUCUGCCCGGUGCGUUUCGGCCGUCGGACCGACCCUCAAGGACAGUAUCUGAGGAAGUACCUGCCCGUGCUGAAGAACUUCCCCUCGCAGUAUAUUUACGAGCCGUGGAAAGCACCUGAAGACGUCCAGAUCAGCGCCGGCUGCAUCAUCGGUAAGGACUAUCCUUGUCCCAUGGUGUGCCACAUGGAGGCGAGUCAGAGGAACCUGGGUUUGAUGCGUCAGGUUCGCACCGAGCAGCAGAAGACGGCAGAACUCACGCGAGAUGUAGCAGAUGACCCGAUGGAGGCGGGGCUUAAGCGAGAGCUGCAGGAGGAGGAGGAACUUCUAGAGGGGGCGGAGCCAUGCAGCAAGUCAAAACGUUUUAGUGGCAGCACUGAUCAUAAGUCCCGCCCCUGCAGCUGGACGCCAGAGACUCUGAGGCUCAGCGAAGAGGUCAUGUGACUCUAAAAGUGCCUCACCGGACCUAUACCAGACCUGCUUCUGGUAUAACGUGUCUGUGUGAACUUGAGAAUCAUGUGAUAUUCUGACCGGAGCCACUUGAUGUCACACGUCACAGCUCUGAGAGCAUUUGAACUCUAUUGAUCUGUCAAACAAACAUACUGGGUGUUACUCGUUUGAACACCGUGUUGCUCGUUCUGCUGGUGUGUCUUUCUCUGUUAAUGAGAGAAUCAUGAGAGUUUUUGUGAACCAAAUAAGAUUGUGGUUUUGACUGACCAGCUCUUGUGACGUAGGAUCCGGGGGCUGAAGUAGCGAAUCCUACUAUGGCGAAGGCUGCGCUCAUGAAUAUUAAUAAGGUUGUGCAGACGUUCCUUGUUUAUUUUCUCGGAGCGUCCAGUCACGUAACACAAUUACUAUUCAUAAC